UGGAGAAGGUCCCAAGGGUUGGGCUGUUCGCCCAUUAAAGUGGCACGCGAGCUGGGUUCAGAACGUCGUGAGACAGUUCGGUCCAUAUCCGGUGUAUGCGUAGGAAUAUUGAGAGGAUUUCUCCCUAGUACGAGAGGACCGGGAGGAACACACCUCUGGUGUACCAGUUAUCGUGCCAACGGUAAACGCUGGGUAGCCAUGUGUGGAGUGGAUAACCGCUGAAAGCAUCUAAGUGGGAAGCCAACCUUAAGAUGAGUACUCUCAUUGCGUAAGCAAGUAAGAUCACGGCAAGACCAGCCGUUCGAUAGGCAUUAAGUGGAAGUUCAGUAAUGGAUUAAGCUGAGAUGUUCUAAUAGAUCGAGGACUUG
rnacentral:rRNA from 11 species